rfam:Salinicoccus alkaliphilus DSM 16010 genome assembly, contig: EJ97DRAFT_scaffold00001.1
GGUCCAGUAGCUCAGUCGGUAGAGCAAAGGAUUGAAAAUCCUUGUGUCGGCGGUUCGAUUCCGUCCUGGACCA